rnacentral:tRNA from 1 species
GGGGUAUAGCUUAACGGUAGAGCAUUUGACUUUUAAUCAAACG